CAGUAGCCGCGGGAAUACGUAGGUGGCAAGCGUUGUCCGGAAUUAUUGGGCGUAAAGCGCGCGCAGGCGGAUCAGUUAGUCUGUCUUAAAAGUUCGGGGCUUAACCCCGUGAUGGGAUGGAAACUGCCAAUCUAGAGUAUCGGAGAGGAAAGUGGAAUUCCUAGUGUAGCGGUGAAAUGCGUAGAUAUUAGGAAGAACACCAGUGGCGAAGGCGACUUUCUGGACGAAAACUGACGCUGAGGCGCGAAAGCCAGGGGAGCGAACGGGAUUAGAUACCCGCGUAGUCCCUGUCUCUUAUACC
rnacentral:rRNA from 1 species